ensembl:lncRNA
UGCUGGGAAAGAUUGAAGGCGGGAGGAGAAGGGGACAAUAGAGGAUGAGAUGGUUGGAUGGCAUCGGUGACUCAAUGGACCCCAUGACUCAAUGGACAUGAGUUUGAGCAAGCUCUGGGGGUUGGUGAUAGACAGGAAACCUGGCAUGCUGCAGUCCAUGGGGUCACAAAGAGUCGGACAUGACUGAGCGACUGAACUGACUGAACUGAUGGAGUGGAGGUGUCCCCUCUGACCUUUCUACCCCUCUUUUGUUCUUCAACAGAAAGAUUCCACAAAGGCAGCUGGGAAGAUUACACAAAGCAGAGUUGACUUGAGUUUCCAGUCUGGCAUCUGUGCUUCCCAAACAGUCAUCCUUAUGUCAUCUGGUCCUCUGCCCUUUUGAAACCAGAUCUCAGGUGGUUAUUGCUGUUCAUCACAAUAAACUGAAAAUAUAAGAAGAGAGGAUUCAAACAGCCCCAGUGAAAGGGAUGGAUCUUAUGUUCCUGAGGCCGCAAGCUGAGAGCUAGAGAAUUCAAGAUUCCAACAGCCUCUGCUUCAGACUGUCCUACCUACUGAGGCUUUUGGUCAAAAGAAGUCUGAUAUCAUUCAGAUUCUCCCUGUCACGAGACUGAUGCCAACUCAGUCACCUCAAGCAGGUGAGACACUCUUUAACAGCAUCUCCAGGGGAGGGCAGUGCACCUCAGCCUUUGUAACUUAUG